GCUGCGUCCAAACCCGCCUGAGGGAUAUAUUAUGGGAUGUUGCAACACACCUCUGCUGUGAGAGGGGGCGGAGCCACAGGUGGGUCCGGUUCAAGUUCUGGAGAAUCGGAUUCCAGUUCGUUCCGACUCGGUUUGUGUGAACAGAAGGAGAAGCAAAGAUCUGAUCAGGUUCUGAUCUCUGUGAAGUAGAGAAUGGUCUCAGUGUCCUGCUG